rnacentral:rRNA from 1 species
UGUGGUGACGAUGGCGAGAAGGAUACACCUGUUCCCAUGUCGAACACAGAAGUUAAGCUUCUUAGCGCCGAGAGUAGUUGGGGGAUC